rnacentral:rRNA from 1 species
UGAUUAGUACAGUGGCGCACGGGUGAGUAAUACUUAGGUAACUUACCCUCUUACUGGGGAUAACUAAGGGAAACUUUAGCUAAUACCGAAUAGUCCUAAAUAUCUUUCGAGUUAUUUAGGUAAAGCUUCGGCGUGAGAGGAGAGGCUUAAGUCUGAUUAGCUUGUUGGUAGGGUAAAAGCCUACCAAGGCGACGAUCAGUAGCUGGUCUUAGAGGAUGUCCAGCCACACUGGAACUGAAACACGGUCCAGACUCCUACGGGAGGCAGCAGCUAGGAAUAUUGCGCAAUGGGGGAAACCCUGACGCAGCAAUCCCGCGUGAGUGAUGAAGGCCUUCGGGUUGUAAAGCUCUUUUAGCAAGAAAGAAUAAAAUGACGGUACUUGCAGAAAAAGCACCGGCAAACUUCGUGCCAGCAGCCGCGGUAAUACGAAGGGUGCAAGCGUUACUCGGAUUUACUGGGCGUAAAGCGUCCGCAGGCUGUUUAGUUAGUUUGGUGUGAAAUCCCACUGCUCAAAGGUGGA